GUUACCAUGGUGCAAUAGGCUGCUUUCUUCACAUUCAUGCCCCCCCUCCAUUUGUCUUCAAAUCUCUGGAGGGCUGCCACAUGGAAGAUGGAGCAAGCUUGCUUUCUGCAGUUCCAGAAGGCAGAACCUUAACUGGGACUGUGCGGAGGAGGGCGGCACAGAUGAGGAAUGGUGGGAGCCGCCCCCUCCCCCUCCCUCUGCUCCGGCUCCUGAAUCUUCCCAGGAGCAGGAGGACAGUAUAGAUUUGGAACAGUGGUUUGCAGAGGGACGUAGUUCAGAAGACAGAAGUUGGGAAGAACUGGGUGGUGAACAGCUAGGAGAAGAAGAACUGGGAGAGUGAGAGUUAACAGAAUCUCUUUCGCUGGAAAGCCUCCAUCUGCUCAGCCCAAGGUCACGAAGAGCAGAUAAGGUGGCAGCACAGAAAGCACAGUGGUUGUGAGAUCACGCUGCAAGACGCAGAAGUGACAUGGAUGCCUAGGGGUGAAGUGGGUGGAACCCUUAAUUGGGAGCACCUCCAUUCCAAGGAAUGGAUUCUUUGUUUUCUCUCGCUGUGAUCAUUAAAAUCUCUCACUGGUAA